AGAGUUUGAUCCUGGCUCAGCCUGAACGCUGGCGGCGUGGCUAAGACAUGCAAGUCGCACGGGGUGGCAGCAAUGCCAUCCAGUGGCGAACGGGUGAGUAAUGUGUCGCUAACGUGCCCCGGACGCCGGGAUAGCUGCCCGAAAGGGCAGGUAAUACCGGGCGAGACCACGGAGAGGCAUCUCUCUGUGCUCAAAGGCGUAAGCCGGUCCGGGAGCGGGCGACAUCGUAUCAGCUUGUUGGUGGGGUAACGGCCUACCAAGGCGACGACGCGUAGCUGGUCUGAGAGGACGGCCAGCCACAUCGGGACUGAGACACUGCCCGGACUCCUACGGGGGGCUGCAGUAACGAAUCUUCCGCAAUGCACGAAAGUGUGACGGAGCGACGCCGCGUGUGGGACGAAGCCCUUCGGGGUGUAAACCACUGUCAGGGGAAAGAAAGUUCUGAUCUACCCCAGAGGAAGGCACGGCUAACUCUGUGCCAGCAGCCGCGGUAAGACAGAGGUGCCGAGCGUUAGGCGGAAUCACUGGGCUUAAAGCGUCCGCAGGUGGCAGUUCAAGUCUGCUGUCAAAGACCGGGGCUUAACUUCGGAAAGGCAGUGGAAACUGAACAGCUAGAGUAUGGUAGGGGCAGAGGGAAUUCCUGGUGUAGCGGUGAAAUGCGUAGAGAUCAGGAAGAACAUCGGUGGCGAAGGCGCUCUGCUGGACCAUAACUGACACUCAGGGACGAAAGCUAGGGGAGCGAAUGGGAUUAGAUACCCCCGUAGUCC
rnacentral:rRNA from 1 species